UUCCUGUACGAUCACUGAAGUUAAGCAAAGUUAAGUCUGGUUAGUACCUAGAUGGGUGACCGCUUGGGAAUACCAGGAGCUGUAA